rnacentral:lncRNA from 1 species
CUCAGGGGAAGCCAGCUGCCAUGUCAUGAGAAAACUUAAGCAGCCCUGUGGGGAGGUCCAUGUGGUGAGGAACUGAGGCCUCCAGUCAGCAGCCAUGGGAGGGAGCCACAUAUGAAGUAGAGUCUCCAGCCCCAGUCAAGCCUUCAGAUGACUGCAGCCCACUUGACAGCUUCACGGUAGCCUUAUGGAAGAGCCUGAGCCAUAACCACCCAGCUAAGCUGCUCCUGCAUUCCCUUGAAAACCAUAAAGGAAAGCAAAGAGAUGUAAGAUGGACAAGUUCAGAGGUUGGGAAUGACAGGCAGAAGUGAGAAUCUCUGCGUGGAUUCUGCUCCUGCCACUGAGAAGGACUGAGGGAGGCGAACAGCACAUGGAAAAACAGGCCAAGACUUCAUGGAAUGUGGAACAUCCCACAACAGGGACCUGGUGCAGCUGAACACAGGAGUUCAGCCCUAGAGGUCUAGUUUACUAUUUAUAACUAUUGAGUCUUCAUUUUUGUUUGUUCAUUUGUUUUCAUGGGAUUAAGCUUGGUAAAGUCAUGUAAACGACAAGAGGCAGACUUUUCUUCUAUUUGGCUAGGAAAUUACAGCAGUUCAGCUGUUUCCUCUCUUUGUUCUUAUGACUCUUGCUUGAUUUAUUAAAGUUGCAGAGUCAAAAGAAUAAUAGAUUUUAAUACACAUCAGGCUGAAUCUUACUAUUUUUGCUAUAGAGGCCAUGCUGUAAAAAAGCCUUGUUAAAUUUGUUUCUCAGCACUAUUUGUAUGCCAUAACUGUUUUUCUAACCUAAAUAAACUUGGUUGCGAUUAUCAAAUACAUUUUAUUUUUAAAUGUUCAUUACAAGCACUGUUGUUCAUAACAAACUAAUGACUAAUGACUCUAGUUAUUUUUUUUCCAAAGGGAACACAGAUUUCAAUGACAUUCACUUUUUU